GUGUGAGAGAGUGUGUGUGUGUGUGCGUGAGAGAGAGACAAAAAAACAGAGAGAGAGAGAGAGAGAGAGAGAGAGAAUGUUGGUUAAGAGUGGCCACCUCUAGCUGGGACAUUGCUUGUGGGUGC